rnacentral:rRNA from 1 species
GACGAACGCUGGCGGCGCGCUUAACACAUGCAAGUCGAGCGAAGCGGCGGACGGGUGAGUAACAAGUGAGUAACCUGCCUUAGACAUUGGGAUAGCCUCGGGAAACCGGGAUUAAUACCAAAUGGUCUAAGAUGGACUCGCUUCCCAUUAGCGAGUUGGUGAGGUAACGGCCCACCAAGGCGACGCUGGGUAGCCGGCCUGAGAGGGUGCACGGCCAUCUUGGAACUGAGAAACGGUCAAAACGCUACGGGAGGCAGCAGUGGGGAAUAUUGCACUAUGGAGGGAACUCUGAUGCAGCGACGCUGGGUGAACGAAGAAGGCUUGCGAGUCGUAAAGUUCUUUUAUAUGGGAAGCGGUACCAUAAGAAAAAGCCCCGGCUAACUACGUGACAGCAGCCGCGGUAAUAC